CCAUCCUCAGAGUUACUGAUUCAGGAAGUCUGGCUGGAGUGGGGCCUGAGAAAUUUCUUUUCUAACAACUUAGUUAUUGAUCCAGAACCCAGCUUUGGGAACUGCCACUUUAUUAUUUCAUAAACUUCACUGGAAGAGAGAUUGUGCCUAUGUAUCCACCAUUCUAUCACCUGUGCCUAGUAUGUUUAUGGCAUGAAUGAAUCUCUUUUGGAUGAAAAAGUGAUGGUGAAACCCUGUCUCAUUCAUAGUGAAAACACAUACAGAACAUUGGAAACCUUCACCCAGCUCAUUAAAGAUAAUGCUUGCCAAUGAACCACAACAAAUAACAUUGGUUUAGGGAUCUCUGCUACUAUAGACCCUAGAGUAUCUGGGGCAUUUCUCAUGAAAGUUCUGAUUAGUUUUUCCUGAGGCACUACUUUAUGGUAAUAAAAUUGGCAUUCCAUCAACAGGUUGAUCGACUGUUCAGGCUUCCCUUCAAGGUGGCUUGAAAUAGCAGAAGCAAUAGUCUCUUUUAAAUAAAUAAAAUUUUUUUAAUACAUAAAGUCUCUCUUAAAGGGCCAUCUGCUUUCAAUUUUUCAUUUAAACCUUCUGAAGGCUCACCAAGUGCCAUAAGAUAAAGAGAGCAAAAGUAAGGUGUAGCAUCACAGGCAAUAAUAUUCCUAUCAUUGCCAAAGUACUAUAGGGAUUACUGCAUAGUGGCAAUUCUCUUAUAUCCUAAAAAUAUUAAUGUGUUUUGAUUCUGAAGGAAACCAAAAUACACCACUUUCAAAUAUAUGUCUUUAAUAUAUUUUGAUGUGGCUAUUCAGAGAGGCUGCAGACCAUAGGAAUACCUUUUACAAGCUGUCCUUUUGUGAGGAAGAUUUGCAACUGUAGAGGAAAUCUACAUAAGUGAAGUUGACAGUGAAUACAAACAGGCUUUCUCUGAGCCCCAUCCCUUAUCUGCCUUUAUCCACAUCUAGAAAAGAUUAACUCACAAACAAAGGAGACUAAAACUUUUUCCUCAGGCUCCUAUCUAUACCAAGAGCUGCUACCAAUGAGCUUUCAUCUGCAUAAUAAGAAAAACUUUGCUUGCCAUUGUCAA
rnacentral:lncRNA from 10 species